rnacentral:ncRNA from 2 species
CGAAUAAAAGGCGAUGGAGUUCGCCAUAACCGCCUGAAAAGGCUGAUGACUCCUACCGGUGA